rnacentral:lncRNA from 1 species
AUGGCAAACUCAAGGCAAAAUCCAGGCAAUACCACUUGUCUUGAUCCAUUUUGUGCUGCCGUAACAGCAUACCACAGACUGGCUGCCUCCCUCACAAGCUCUGGAACAGCCAUAAGAAGGGAUAGGAUGGUAGUGACUACAGAGUCAGUUCACUUGGGCAGGACAUCAGAGGACUCAGACACCAGCUUCCCAUCUCAGGUCUUGAUCUCAUCACAACCAGGAUCCUGGAGGAGCUGAUGUGGCUGAAGGAGCUGAAGCCCCCACCGGAGCCAAAGUUAGAUUGGAAGGAGUCCAGGCCAUGGCUGAGGCCAGAGCUUGUGAGCUCAGCUCACCUGAGUAGCCUCUGGUGGUCUUCUUGUGGAUAUUCAUGUACCGCAUUCCAGACUCCAGCCAGCUCUCCUUGCCCUCCAGCAGCAUCCUGUAGGUGGUGAUCUCGAUGUCCAGGACCACCCAGACCUUCUUCAGUUCCUGGUACCCUCACAGCUGUAGGGCACGUCCUUCCUGGCUCAUUUCAGAGAGCCUCCAGCUCCACCAGCUUCGCACUGGCGUCCUUAACGACCAUCUCCCCACACUGCAAGGUCUCCACGACAGCAGCCUCCAGGAAAUUCUCUGACCUCUGAGCCCCUCUGUCUCAGCCCACAGCUGGCUGAUGUUCUAGUUUGUCUCAGAGAUCUUCGAAUGCCACAGAUCAUCCCGAUGCUCCCCAGCCAGCGUCUGCAGCUCCUCACACUUGAUCUGGUGCAAGCUCUCAGUCUCACUGAGCUGUGGCUGGCCAUCUCUGC